GACGAACGCUGGCGGCGUGCUUAACACAUGCAAGUCGAGCGGUAAGGCCCUUCGGGGUACACGAGCGGCGAACGGGUGAGUAACACGUGGGUGAUCUGCCUCGUACUCUGGGAUAAGCCUGGGAAACUGGGUCUAAUACCGGAUAUGACCACGAAUCGCAUGGUUUGUGGUGGAAAGAUUUAUCGGUGCGAGAUGGGCCCGCGGCCUAUCAGCUUGUUGGUGGGGUAAUGGCCUACCAAGGCGACGACGGGUAGCCGGCCUGAGAGGGCGACCGGCCACACUGGGACUGAGACACGGCCCAGACUCCUACGGGAGGCAGCAGUGGGGAAUAUUGCACAAUGGGCGGAAGCCUGAUGCAGCGACGCCGCGUGAGGGAUGACGGCCUUCGGGUUGUAAACCUCUUUCGACAGGGACGAAGCGCAAGUGACGGUACCUGUAGAAGAAGCACCGGCCAACUACGUG
rnacentral:rRNA from 2 species